ACUGGGAUGGCUGAGUGGUUAAGGCCUUGGACUUUAGAUCCAAUGGGCGGAUGCCUGCGUGGGUUCAAACCCCACUCCCAGUA
rfam:Mus musculus chromosome 13, GRC primary reference assembly.